AGCGAACGCUGGCGGCAGGCUUAACACAUGCAAGUCGAACGGGCAUAGCAAUAUGUCAGUGGCAGACGGGUGCGUAACGCGUGGGAACGUACCUUUUGGUUCGGAACAACACAGGGAAACUUGUGCUAAUACCGGAUAAGCCCUUACGGGGAAAGAUUUAUCGCCGAAAGAUCGGCCCGCGUCUGAUUAGCUAGUUGGUAGGGUAAUGGCCUACCAAGGCGACGAUCAGUAGCUGGUCUGAGAGGAUGAUCAGCCACAUUGGGACUGAGACACGGCCCAAACUCCUACGGGAGGCAGCAGUGGGGAAUAUUGGGCAAUGGGCGAAAGCCUGAUCCAGCCAUGCCGCGUGAGUGAUGAAGGCCCUAGGGUUGUAAAGCUCUUUUGUGCGGGAAGAUAAUGACGGUACCGCAAGAAUAAGCCCCGGCUAACUUCGUG
rnacentral:rRNA from 1 species